GAUGAACGCUGGCGGCGUGCCUAAUACAUGCAAGUCGAGCGAACGGACGAGAAGCUUGCUUCUCUGAUGUUAGCGGCGGACGGGUGAGUAACACGUGGAUAACCUACCUAUAAGACUGGGAUAACUUCGGGAAACCGGAGCUAAUACCGGAUAAUAUUUUGAACCGCAUGGUUCAAAAGUGAAAGACGGUCUUGCUGUCACUUAUAGAUGGAUCCGCGCUGCGUUAGCUAGUUGGUAAGGUAACGGCUUACCAAGGCAACGAUGCAUAGCCGACCUGAGAGGGUGAUCGGCCACACUGGAACUGAGACACGGUCCAGACUCCUACGGGAGGCAGCAGUAGGGAAUCUUCCGCAAUGGGCGAAAGCCUGACGGAGCAACGCCGCGUGAGUGAUGAAGGUCUUCGGAUCGUAAAACUCUGUUAUUAGGGAAGAACAUAUGUGUAAGUAACUGUGCACAUCUUGACGGUACCUAAUCAGAAAGCCACGGCUAACUACGU
rnacentral:rRNA from 1 species